rnacentral:rRNA from 1 species
AUUGAACGCUGGCGGCAGGCCUAACACAUGCAAGUCGAGCGGAUGAAGGGAGCUUGCUCCUGGAUUCAGCGGCGGACGGGUGAGUAAUGCCUAGGAAUCUGCCUGGUAGUGGGGGAUAACGUCCGGAAACGGGCGCUAAUACCGCAUACGUCCUGAGGGAGAAAGUGGGGGAGCUUCGGACCUCACGCUAUCAGAUGAGCCGAUGUCGGAUUAGCUAGUUGGUGGGGUAAAGGCCUACCAAGGCGACGAUCCGUAACUGGUCUGAGAGGAUGAUCAGUCACACUGGAACUGAGACACGGUCCAGACUCCUACGGGAGGCAGCAGUGGGGAAUAUUGGACAAUGGGCGAAAGCCUGAUCCAGCCAUGCCGCGUGUGUGAAGAAGGUCUUCGGAUUGUAAAGCACUUUAAGUUGGGAGGAAGGGCAGUAAGUUAAUACCUUGCUGUUUUGACGUUACCAACAGAAUAAGCACCGGCUAACUUCGUG